GGAAGGAUCAUUAACAAAUUCCAAAACACGUCUUUUGACCCACUGAACUCUUUCUUUUUUUUUCAAUCGGAUUCUCAUGGAUAGCAGCAGCAGCAGCAGCAGCAGCGAUACAUGGUUCCGUGAGCGAAAGGGGGGGGAGUAGAGGUUGGGUCAAGGUGGUGUAGUGUAGGUUACUACAACUACACCCCCCCACACAAGACAAACACAAACAUUACAUUUAUUGACAACACAUGGAGAACAAACGAAUUAUAACAUGAUCGUUGAAACAACUUUUAACAAUGGAUCUCUCGGCUCUUGCAACGAUGAAGAACGCAGCGAACUGCGAAACGUGAUGUGAACUGCACUCUUCGUGAAUCAUCCAAUCUUUGAACGCACUUUGCACCUAGUGGCUUUUGUCAUGAGGUAUACUUGUUUGAGUAUCAAAAACGACCUCACUUCCCUUUCGGGGCGAAGUGGAUUUGAGAGAUUCGAGGAACGAUGUCAUGGUGGUGGUACACACACACACUUGGUGUGUGUACUGUGCGCUUGCAUGGCGAGUCGUCUCUUUAAAUGAGCUGGUCCAUUUGUGGAAGGUCUCCGUCUGGAACCUGACAGACUAUUGGGAUAACAGCAUCCUAACGAUCGUCUGUUGUUGGUUCAUGAUGCGGCGUUGACUGACCUUGACCACCCCCACCUGGAAGAAGCAUGGAUUCUCUCUCAUCUUUCAAGAUGAAUAGAUCUCUCUAUGUGACUUUACUAGCGUUGUUAGUUAGUUAGUUCAAUACCUUUUUAUCGAGAGGUGUCGUCUCAUUAAUUGUGAUAUGAUCUCAAAUCAAGUAAGGAUACCCGCUGAACUUAAGCAUAUCAGUAAGCGGAGGAAAAGAAACUAACAAGGAUUCCCUGAGUAACGGCGAGUGAAACGGGAUGAGCUCAAAUUUAAAAUCUGUCACCCUUGGGUGUCCGAAUUGUCAUUGAGAGGGUCUUCUUUUGAUGAAGGUGAUGGUCAAAGUUCUCUGGAAAGGGACAACAAAGAGGGUGACAUUCCCGUUUGGAUCAUGACUGGAGUCAGUUAGAAAGGAGGCUCAAAGAGUCGGAUUGUUUGGGAAUGCAGUCCAAAAUGGGUGGUACAUUUCAUCUAAAGCUAAAUAUAUGCAAGAGACCGAUAGCGAACAAGUACCGUGAGGGAAAGAUGAAAAGAACUUUGAAAAGAGAGUUAAAUAGUACGUGAAAUUGUUAAAAGGGAAACGAUUGAGACCAGUGAUGUGGCGGUCCUUGAGCAUACCUUUCGGGGUGUGUGUUUGGGCUUGUCACGCGUCGACGCUCCUUUUGGGCUUUGGAAAAGACAGAGGGAAAUGUGGCUCCACCUUUGGGUGGCUGCUUUAUAGUCCCUUUGGGAUACAAGGUCGUUCGGGAGGAGACAGGUAGGGUCGCAAGGCUCACGUCGACGAAAUGGUCUUAAACGACCCGUCUUGAAACACGGACCAAGGAGUCUAACAACUAUGCGAGUAUUUGAGUGGCAAACUCGAGUGCGCAAAGAAACUGAACGCGUGGGAUUUGUCUUCUUAUGUGGGAGGGCAAUGCACCAUGGCCAGUCCUUGUCUUUGACUUGGAUUGCGCUAGAGCAUAUCUGUUGGGACCCGAAAGAUGGUGAACUAUGCCUGAAUAGGGUGAAGCCAGGGGAAACUCUGGUGGAGGCUCGUAGACAUUCUGACGUGCAAAUCGAUGUUCAAAUUUGGGUAUAGGGGCGAAAGACUAAUCGAACCAUCUAGUAGCUGGUUCCCUC
rnacentral:misc_RNA from 1 species